UAUCUCAAGUUCACUUGAUAAUUUUCGCAUCUAAUAUUAGUUCUUUACCGAAAAGAAAAAUGGCUUCUAAGAAUGCAACACUCAUUUUAGGACUUUUAUUAUUAUUAGUUAUGGUUGUUCUCAUUAUUCCUUCAAAGGUUGAUGCUGCUAGAGAUUUUUCUCAGAUAAUUUCCUCUUACGCUAAAGCAGGAAAAAUAUCAAAAUCAAAUAAUGAUAAUGAGGUGGAAGGUUCUGAUGGAGGAGUAGGAGUUGACCAGCAUCCAAAGCAUUGUGACCCCAAAAAAGUUUGUUGCCGGGACCCACCUCGUUGCAAGUAGCAUAUAAGCUACUAAACAAUAAUAACAAUUUAUGAAAAUUAUUACUAUAUAUAUAUGCUUCGUGUGUAAACUUUAUAAAAUAAAAUAUUGAAAUAAGAGGACAAGAAUAAAGAAGUAUAUUGAUCGAAAUAAAA